rnacentral:rRNA from 1 species
UACAGAGGGUGCAAGCGUUAUUCGGAGUUACUGGGCGUAAAGAGCACGUAGGCGGUUUGAUAAGUCCGAUGUGAAAUCCCUGGACUCAAUUCAGGAAGUGCAUUGGAUACUGUCAGACUAGAGUAUGGGAGAGGAGAGCGGAAUUCCUGGUGUAGAGGUGAAAUUCGUAGAUAUCAGGAGGAACAACAGAGGCGAAGGCGGCUCUCUGGACCAUUACUGACGCUGAGGUGCGAAAGCGUGGGGAGCAAACAGG